ensembl:lncRNA
AAAAAAUUAGAUGUACAAGUAUCGCGAUAUAUAUGUUGUGUUGAUUUGAUAGUACAUAUGAUGUUAUUAAAAAUGGUAGAGUCUGUUUCAAGAAUUGGAAACAUACGAAAAAAACGGGAAAUUAAUUUCUUUUUAAUUGUAUACAGUAUUUGGACAUUAUUAUUAACUAUCUUUAUGUUUUGCACUUCUUUAUCAUAUAUAAAACUAAUGUACUGUAUAUAUAUUUUAGGACUAGCCAUAUCUAUUAAAAUAAAUGAAAUAAUAUAUAUCUCUAUCUUUGCAGUGUUUUUUGGAUUUUUAAAUCUCUAUUUACUUUUACCAAGUUUCUCAAUAUCUUUGAUGUUUACUCUACAAAUGACAACAUUUUUUUUAAUUGCUUUUGUAAUACGUUUAGCCAUAUAUUACUAUGCUCAUAGAAUAGUUUAUAUUAAACGUCAACCAUUACGCGCUUUAGAUCAUAUGAGUCCUUACUUCCAUGAAUUAGAAAAAAAAGCAAUUUCUAUCAAAAAUAAGUUUAUUUAUUGUCAACAAAAUAGCAUGUGUAAGGAUAUGUUAGAAAACAAUUCGCCUGAAUCUAAAGGAAAAGAUGACGUAGACGACAUUAUAUUUUCAGAUAAAAUUAAACGAAAAUUAAAUAAUCAAUUUUCCGAUUUAAACCUUGUUAAAUUUAAAAACUCUUUUGAUAAUGGUGACAUAAUUUAUUCUAGUAUUGAACAUGUUGGUUUAGAUACAGAAAUGCCCCCGAAUGAUAAUAAAAUAAUUUCACUCCAUGUUGAUAAAAAGAACAAUAAUAAGCAAGAGCUUAAUUCUAAUAAUCUCAUCGAAAUAAAUAAAAAAAGUAGAAGAAUUGAUGAUGGUGACAUAAAAGAAAAUUUUAGUAUACAUGGUAAAGGGUUUACUACUAAGAAUCACAUAUAUGGAAAUAGUAUUAUCGAAAGCGCGAAUCAUGGUAAUAAUAACAAUGAUAAUAAUAACAAUAAUAAUAAUAACAAUAACAAUAAGAAUAAUAGUAAUAAUAAAAAAGUUGAUUUUACUAUAACUGAGAGUAAAAUAAACAACAAUGACAAUGAUAUUUAUAAGAAUUACACAGAUUCAGAACAAGAAAAUAUAAUUACUGAGCCAAACAUAAAAAGUUUUACUCCUAAAUCUUCUACUAUUAUUUUUAACGAUAAAACAGAAAUUAAACAAAAAGAGAGCUUGAAUAGAAAACAGUUUGAAAAUAUAUACCAAAAGGAAAUAUUGCAAAAGGAUUUUCUUUUAAUAUUUGAUGACAUGAUAAAAAUGAAUAUAAAACAUAACUUACUAAUGUCUGGCAUUUCAAAUAAUAAUAUUGCUUAUGUUUUUUUUGACAGGAGUGGAUAUGUACGAAAAUCCAAAAUAAUACCUUCAUAUGUAUUUGAUAAACAUGAUUUAAGUAAUAUCUCAUUAUAUUUAAAAAAUGAUACACAUUUAAAGAUGGAUAGAUAUUACAAAAUUUUUAGUUUCCUACAGAAUAAUCAUAAAGUAAGUAGUUAUGAUAAAAACGAAAUAACAAAUUUAUACUAUGGUUUAUUAAAAAGCACAACAUUUAACAUACUGCCUGAACCAGUUAUCACUAAUCCAAUUGAAAAAAAAAAUACUCAUUCAACAACAAAUACAAUAAAUCAUCUAUUUUAAAUACCAAUCAACUAACAUCAUUUAAAAGAACAAGAACAACGAAGUAUAUGUUUAACAAUUUUGCAAUGACUAAUAGUUACGAUAGUGAUAAUGGCAAUAAUAAUAAUGGUGAUAAUAAUAGUGACAUUUCUGAAAAUAGGAAAUUUGGUAGUAUCGAUAAUAAUAGUCAAUUUGAUGAUAAUAAUACAAAUAAUAAAUAUAAUUUAAACGGGAUAAGCA